rnacentral:sRNA from 1 species
AAAAGGGUUUAUUGUUAAAAUAGGCACAUUUUUAAAAAAAACUUUGAUUUUAAGCACAUUGCGUGUGGGCAUCGAAAAAGGGAAUUUUGAGAGAUGAAAUUUGACGAUAAUACCCUUCGGAGCGUUAGGUCGGAGUUGAGAAGAAAUUUUUCAGAUCCAUCUCUGUCAUUAAGUUUCCGUCAUCUCUGAUAUCUACUCCACCGAAUUUUUUUGCUCCGACAAUGUUCAAAAACUAAACCCUAAGUUGUACAUAGGGAACCCAAGGAGAAUAUCAAACGAAUUGUAAGAAUUCAUCCUCUUUCUCUUUUGUUUCCAUCACGUUCAUACUUUCAUCAUCUCUAAUAUUCACAAAAACUAAACCUUAAGGGAACUAGUACAUAGGGAACCCAAUAGGAAAACCAAACGAAUUGUCAAUAUUCAUCUUCUUCCUCCUUUCUUUCCAUCAAAUUGGAGAAGCCACAUCAAUCGAAUAAGAAAAAACCAAAUUUGUAUAUUCAAUCGGAGAAUUUGAUCUAAUAUGAACCACUUAACAAAAACCCAAAACGAAUGCUUGAAAUCACCUUUGAUAACUUUGCAAUUGUUUAACAAUUGGAAAUUGAGAAGUUUAAAAUCUCUUUUUUUCUUCUGAGAUUUUCAAAUUUGGAGAUCUCAAAAACACAUCUCGAUAUCUAAGCCACCACCCUCGAAUCUCAUCAUCGCCGCUGCCAUUGGCACUCAAGAUCUUGCCAUCCUCUUCUUGAUGCUUGUUUCACCGGAGCU